rnacentral:rRNA from 1 species
UACGUAGGGCGCAAGCGUUGUCCGGAAUUAUUGGGCGUAAAGAGCUCGUAGGCGGCCUGUUACGUCUGCUGUGAAAUCCCGGGGCUCAACCCCGGAUCGGCCGUGGCGACUCGUGGGCUGGAGCACUGUAGAGGCGGGUGGAAUUCCGGGUGUAGCGGUGGAAUGCGCAGAUAUCGGGAAGAACACCCGUGGCGAAGGCGGCUCUCUGGGACGGUACUGACGCUGAGACGCGAAAGCGUGGGGAGCGAACAGG